rnacentral:rRNA from 1 species
CCUACGGGAGGCAGCAGUGGGGAAUAUUGCACAAUGGGGGAAACCCUGAUGCAGCGACGCCGCGUGAGUGAGGAAGUAUUUCGGUAUGUAAAGCUCUAUCAGCAGGGAAGAAAAUGACGGUACCUGACUAAGAAGCCCCGGCUAACUACGUGCCAGCAGCCGCGGUAAUACGUAGGGGGCAAGCGUUAUCCGGAUUUACGGGGUGUAAAGGGAGCGUAGACGGAAUUGCAAGUCGGAUGUGAAAAUCCGGGGCCCAACCCCGGAACUGCAUUGGAAACUGUAUUUCUAGAGUGUCGGAGAGGCAAGUGGAAUUCCUGGUGUAGCGGUGAAAUGCGUAGAUAUCAGGAGGAACACCAGUGGCGAAGGCAGCUUACUAAGCCAUAACUGACACUGAAGCACGAAAGCGUGGGGAUCAAACAGGAUUAGAUACCCUAGUAGUC